UGAACAGACGAUCCCGGAGUGAGAGGCGUGAACAGACGAUCCCGGAGUGAGAGGCGUGAACAGACGUUCCCGGAGUGAGAGGCGUGAACAGAUGUUCCCGGAGUGAGAGGCGUGAACAGAUGUUCCCGGAGUGAGAGGCGUGAACAGAUGUUCCCGGAGUGAGAGGCGUGAACAGAUGAUCCUGGAGUGAGAGGCGUGAACAGAUGAUCCUGGAGUGAGAGGCGUGAACAGAUGUUCCCGGAUUGAGAGGCGUAAACAGAUGAUCCCAGAUUGAGAGGCGUGAACAGAUGUUCCCGGAGUGAGAGGCGUGAACAGAUGUUCAUGCAUUGAGAGGCGUGAACAGAUAUUCCCGGAGUGAGAGGCGUAAACAGAUGUUCAUGCAUUGAGAGGCGUGAACAGAUGAUCCUGGAGUGAGAGGCGUGAACAGGUAUUCCCGGAUUGAGAGGCGUAAACAUAUGAUCCCGGAUUGAGAGGCGUGAACAGAUGUUCCCGGAUUGAGAGGCGUGAACAGAUGAUCCCGGAUUGAAAGGCAUGAACAGAUGUUCCCGGAGUGAGAGGCGUGAACAGAUGUUCCUGGAGUGAGAGGCGUGAACAGAUGUUCCCGGAGUGAGAGGCGUGAACAGAUGUUCCCGGAUUGAGAGGCGUAAACAGAUGUUCCCGGAUUGAGAGACGUGAACAGACAAUCCCGGAUUGAGAGGCGUGAACAGAUGUUCCCGGAGUGAGAGGCGUGAACAGACGUUCCCGGAUUGAGAGGCGUGAACAGACAAUCCCGGAUUGAGAGGAGUGAACAGAUGUUCCCGGAGUGAGAGUCGUGAACAGACGUUCCUGGAUUGAGAGGUGUAAACAGAUGUUCAUGUAUUGAGAAGCAUAAACAGAUAUUCCUGGAGUGAGAGGCGUGAACAGAUGUUCCUGGAGUGAGAGGCGUAAACAGAUGAUCCUGGAUUGAGAGAGGUGAACAGAUGUUCAUGCAUCGAGAGGCGUAAACAGAUAUUCCCGGAGUGAGAGGCGUGAACAGAUGUUCCUGGAGUGAGAGGCGUAAACAGAUGAUCCUGGAUUGAGAGACGUGAACAGAUGUUCAUGCAUCGAGAGGCGUAAACAGAUAUUCCUGGAGUGAGAGGCGUGA